rnacentral:rRNA from 1 species
UGGGUAACCUACCCAUCAGAGGGGGAUAACACUUGGAAACAGGUGCUAAUACCGCAUAACAGUUUAUGCCGCAUGGCAUAAGAGUGAAAGGCGCUUUCGGGUGUCGCUGAUGGAUGGACCCGCGGUGCAUUAGCUAGUUGGUGAGGUAACGGCUCACCAAGGCCACGAUGCAUAGCCGACCUGAGAGGGUGAUCGGCCACACUGGGACUGAGACACGGCCCAGACUCCUACGGGAGGCAGCAGUAGGGAAUCUUCGGCAAUGGACGAAAGUCUGACCGAGCAACGCCGCGUGAGUGAAGAAGGUUUUCGGAUCGUAAAACUCUGUUGUUAGAGAAGAACAAGGACGUUAGUAACUGAACGUCCCCUGACGGUAUCUAACCAGAAAGCCACGGCUAACUACGUGCCAGCAGCCGCGGUAAUACGUAG